GGUUAGCUCAGUUGGUUAGAGCGUGGUGCUGAUAAUGCCAAGCUUGCAGGAUCGAUCCCUAUAUGGAACA